rnacentral:rRNA from 1 species
GACGAACGCUGGCGGCGUGCCUAAUACAUGCAAGUCGAACGCACUCUCGUUUAGAUUGAAGGAGCUUGCUCCUGAUUGAUAAACAUUUGAGUGAGUGGCGGACGGGUGAGUAACACGUGGGUAACCUGCCCUAAAGUGGGGGAUAACAUUUGGAAACAGAUGCUAAUACCGCAUAAAACCUAACACCGCAUGGUGUAGGGUUGAAAGAUGGUUUCGGCUAUCACUUUAGGAUGGACCCGCGGUGCAUUAGUUAGUUGGUGAGGUAAAGGCUCACCAAGACCGUGAUGCAUAGCCGACCUGAGAGGGUAAUCGGCCACACUGGGACUGAGACACGGCCCAGACUCCUACGGGAGGCAGCAGUAGGGAAUCUUCCACAAUGGACGAAAGUCUGAUGGAGCAACGCCGCGUGAGUGAAGAAGGUUUCGGAUCGUAAAACUCUGUUGUUGGAGAAGAAUGUAUUUAGAUAGUAACUGAUCAGGUAGUGACGGUAU